GUCAUUGAUGUGGAAAAUUGAUUAAAUUCAAAUAACUCGAAGGAGAGGUAGACCAAUGAUGAUGUGUUUGCUGAAGUGGUAAAAGAAUUGGUUUAGGUCCAGAACUAAUUAUAUUAAGUUUAUGCCAAAAACAAAAAAGCAAAUGAGAAGGAAUGGCAUCUACAUAACCCCCAUCAACAAAAUUUGGAGCAAUCUUAAUUGAGUUGUAUUUAAGUUUGUAAAUUUGUAUCUUUGUAAUAGCUUAUAUGGCACAUGGUUCCAUGACAAUUUAUUAAUAUCAUUAUUUACUUGAGAACCUAUUUUACUUAAUCUUUUAUAAAAAUAUGUUGUUCACUCCACAAUAAAAUCUAAACUAUUUAUAAGGCUUCAUCGUUGUUCUCAUGUGC
rnacentral:misc_RNA from 1 species